UGUACAAUAUAAAAUGCUUUUUUUAAGCAAAUAACUAAAUAAUUACUAAAAAAAUAAAUAUGUAGAAACAAUAUAAUGAAGUAUAAGUGUAUAAAAAGUGCAUAAUAUGAAAUAAAUAAUUACUAGAAAUCGAAAAAUUGCAAGAUAAAAUUUGCAAAAUUUUCAACUUUAAAUGCAAAUAUCUCGAAAACUAUAAGUUUGCGGCAACAAUUAUAUAUUUUCUUAAUCUGGAGCAGCAGCUCUAUCCAACAAUACUACUGAAAUCGUGGGAUGGUAGACUAAAGCCGACCCUUGUUCCGGAGUAAAUCAUUUCAUUUUGAAAUUCCAAGCCAAACUUAGUGUAAAUCAAGUAACAGCUGUCAAAAAUAUAAAAAGUAUUGCCUCAUUGAAAAUAAUUUAUCUUGGUUAGCAUUGCGGUAAGUAAAUUCAAGUUUUGAUUAUACUAUUGUUACGUUUCUGUGUUUUCAUACUUAUAUUAGGAAAAAUAGUAAAAGUAGUGGCAAAAAAAGCGCAAAGAAAUUGUAGUUGAAUUCCUUAGGUAAAUAAUAUUUCAUAAAGAAUGUAUUUGGCUAAGUUGGUAGGACUGCCCUUAAUAACUUUGCCAAACAUGAGCGCGAUCUGUCAACCUGUCUGUCGACUGUUUGUUUACAGCAGCUACUUUAGCUGACACUUAAUCACACGACUUCGGCUGUUGAGUGGUUUAUCCCACUAAUCUUUUAAAUUUAUCAAGAUUUCGCCAUACAAAAAUGACAGUUCCAAUCACUUCACUCCGACGCUGAUUUUGCGCCAUCUACUUGUCAGCAUUGGAAAUCUGUUACAUUAUCACAGCUGAUUUAGACACUACAAAAGGUAAAAAAUGUAAAGAAACAAUUUUUUUUAAAGCAAUGAAUCUAAUUUCACCUGAAAAACGACUUAACAAAUGAACUAAAUGCAUCCACUAUUUCUAUUAUAUGGAAAAUAUUUGAAAAAAGACGGCUUUUAUUUCAAAAUACUAAUGACAAUCUUUUCUUUUGAUAAAUAUUAAGCGAUGUGACUUCAUGAAUGACAAUAACAGCUGUUUUUUGAUCUUGCUAACGAUAGUGAGAACACUGUUUGAUUAUGAAAUGCUUAAAUGUAAUCUAAUCUUUUAAAUUUUCGGUCUGAACAUGGUAUUAGUCGGUACACCUGAGUAGUGUGUUGUGAUUUUUACAAUGGAUAAAUAUUCCAACAAAGAAUUUGUCUUUUUUGUUUAUAACAAAGUUUCUUGUGCGAAAGCAUUGCGAAUAUUGGAAAAAGCUUACGCUAAUGAAUAAAUUAAAAAAGUGAAGGAUAUGGUGCUUGAAAAUCGUCAUGCAAAUGUUAAAGAGAUGGCAAGAGACAUCUCUCGCGAGUCCAUUCAAAUGAUUUAGUGGAUAUUUUGGGUAUGAAAUGCGUUCUAGCUCGACUCGUCCCGAUAAAGCUUAAUUUUGUGACCAAUUUAAACCCGUUUUGAAUGCCAUCGAUCAACCACCGUGUUUACCAUAUUUGUCUCCGUGUGAUUUUUUUUGUUUCCCAACCUGAAUUGCCGCUCCGUUUAAUCCGUUUUCAGUCCAUCGAAGUGAUACAACAAAAUUCGCGUAAGGUCAUUCCAAAAAGUGCUUAUGAAAAGUGUUUCGAGGUCUAGAAAAGUUGACAUAAGAAUAUUACAUCUGAUUGACUUUUACAUUUCGACAAGAAGCUUAUCUGCUCAAAUGGGUGUAAGCAGACAGUCAUUACAGUCAAUUAUGCACAAAGAUUUGGACUUAUUCCCACAAAAAAUUCAAAUGGCCAACAAACUGAACGCUGCAGACUUGCCGAUUCGCUUGGAAUUUUGCCAGAAGAUGCUUCAAAUGUGGAAGAGGAUGGAAACAUGUUGAACUGUCUUUUCAUGUCUGACGAAGCCCAUUUCGAUUUAAACGGCAACAUAAACAAACAAAAUUGUCGAAUAUGGAGUGCUUCCAACCCACAGAUACUCCAUUGCAUCCAUUUCGUGUCACAGUGUGGUGUGCAGUUUCAUUACGCUGCAUUGUCGGGCCCUACUUCUUCGAAGAAAACGGGCACACCGUUACGGUUACUGGAGACCGUUACUUGAGCAUGUUGAGAGAGUUUUUCUAUCCAGAAUUAGGCCGAAUGAGAAUUUCUUUCAACUCUGGGUGGUUUCAGCAAGAUGGUGCAGCUCCUCACAUAGCCCAACCUGUUAUGACAGAAUUGCGACGAAAAUUUCCCAAUAAGCUGAUAUCCAGAAACUCCACAUUCCGCUGGCCACCCAGGUCGCCUGACCUUACUGCACCUGACUUUUUCUUGAGGGGUUAUUGCAAACAGGAAGUCUACAAAGCAAAACCAACAAAUUUGAAUGAACUAAGGCAAUCUAUUCGAGAAACAAUUGCGGCUAUUCCUGUCUCAACUCUCCAAGCAGUAAUGAACAACUUUUUGGUAAGAUGCCGCACAUGCAUCAACGAGAAGGCGGGUCAUUUAAAUUCCAUUAUUUUUAAAACAAAUUUAGCUAUAUUUAAUAAAAUUGAAUGAGCUUUAACAUGAAUAAAAGAAAAAUGAAUUCCAUACACUGAAAUAAAA